AUGAACGCUGGCGGCGUGCCUAAUACCUGCCAGUCGAGCGAACAGACGAGGAGCUUGCUCCUCUGACGUUAGCGGCGGACGGGUGAGUAACACGUGGAUAACCUACCUAUAAGACUGGGAUAACUUCGGGAAACCGGAGCUAAUACCGGAUAAUAUAUUGAACCGCCUGGUUCAAUAGUGAAAGACGGUUUUGCUGUUACUUAUAGAUGGAUCCGCGCCGCAUUAGCUAGUUGGUAAGGUAACGGCUUACCAAGGCAACGAUGCGUAGCCGACCUGAGAGGGUGAUCGGCCACACUGGAACUGAGACACGGUCCAGACUCCUACGGGAGGCAGCAGUAGGGAAUCUUCCGCAAUGGGCGAAAGCCUGACGGAGCAACGCCGCGUGAGUGAUGAAGGUCUUCGGAUCGUAAAACUCUGUUAUUAGGGAAGAACAAAUGUGUAAGUAACUAUGCACGUCUUGACGGUACCUAAUCAGAAAGCCACGGCUAACUACGUG
rnacentral:rRNA from 1 species